GAUUGUGGGUAGUCGCUGUUGUCACCAGCUUGUCUGGGAGACGAUAGAGGAAAGUCCAGGCUCGCCCGGGCUGCGAUGCCCGGAGUGUUCGUACCUAGNNAGGUUCGCCUCAUUGACGGCGCAGAAAGGGUUCUCCCUGAGACCCAAGUACGCUGAAAGUGCCACAGAAACGUAGCUUCUCUGGCGACAGAGAAGAUGGAACGAGGUAAACCCUGCGAGCGAGAAACCCAAAUUAGGUAGGGGAACCGUCUGGACGGAAUUGAACGAAAAGGACGGAUGGCAAAAGAAAUUUUGCCAUAGAUAGAUGACUACAGCUCUUCGUGCGAGGGGAAGGUCCGUUUGCAGCA
rnacentral:RNase_P_RNA from 1 species